UACAGAGGGUGCGAGCGUUGUCCGGAAUCACUGGGCGUAAAGGGCGCGUAGGUGGCGCUGCAAGUCGGUGGUGAAAGCUCGUCGCUUAACGGCGAGUCGGCCAUCGAAACUGCAGGGCUCGAGCACUGUAGGGGCUAAUGGAAUUCCGGGUGUAGCGGUGGAAUGCGCAGAUAUCAGGAGGAACACCGAUGGCGAAGGCAGAUCUCUGGGCCUUACCUGACGCUGAGGAGCGAAAGCUGGGGGAGCGAACAGG
rnacentral:rRNA from 1 species